AAAUUCAAGGAAUUAAGAGUUUAUGGGGGAUACCUUGGCAUUCAGAAGCGAUGAAGGACGCGACUACCGGCGAAACGCUUCGGGGAGUUGGAAAUAAGCUUUGAUCCGGAGAUCUCCGAAUGAGGAAACUUUAUGAACUACUUAUUGAAUCAAUAAAUAAGAAAGAGCGAACCUAGGGAACUGAAACAUCUUAGUACCUAGAGGAAAAGAAAGUAAAAACGAUUCCCUCAGUAGUGGCGAACGAAAUGGGAAGAGCCUAAACUUCAUUAGAAGGGUAGUGGGACAAUUGGAAAUGAUUAAAUGUGACAAUUAGACGAAUUAGUUGGAAUCCUAAACCAAAGAGAGUGAUAGUCUCGUAGUCGAAAAUUGAAACAAUCAAAUUGAAUCCCAAGUAGCAUGGAGCACGUGAAAUUCCGUGUGAAUCAGCGAGGACCACCUCGUAAGGCUAAAUAUUCCUGAAUGACCGAUAGUGAAAUAGUACCGUGAGGGAAAGGUGAAAAGAACCCCGGGAGGGGAGUGAAAAGAACAUGAAACCAUAAACUUACAACCAGUAGGAGGACGACUAAAACGUCUGACUGCGUGCCUGUUGAAGAAUGAGCCGGCGACUUAUAGGUAGUGGCAGGUUAAGGCAGAGAAUGCUGAAGCCAUAGUGAAAGCGAGCCUGAAUAGGGCGUUUGUCACUGGUUAUAGACCCGAACCCGGAUGAUCUAACCAUGGUCAGGUUGAAGCUUAAGUAACACUAAGUGGAGGACCGAACCGACUGAUGUUGAAAAAUCAGCGGAUGAAUUGUGGUUAGGGGUGAAAUGCCAAUCGAAUUCGGAGCUAGCUGGUUCUCCCCGAAAUGCGUUUUGGCGCAGCGGUAAAUCUUAUAGUCUAGGGGUAAAGCACUGUUACGUAUGCGGGCUGGUAAUUCGGUACCAAAUCGUUGCAAACUAAGAAUACUAGAUGUACAAUUUACCAGUGAGACUGUGGGGGAUAAGCUCCAUUGUCAAGAGGGAAACAGCCCAGAGCACCAGUUAAGGCCCCUAAAUAAUUACUAAGUGGUAAAGGAGGUGGGAGUGCACAGACAAUCAGGAGGUUUGCUUAGAAGCAGCAAUCCUUUAAAGAGUGCGUAAUAGCUCACUGAUCGAGUAAACCUGCGCCGAAAAUGUAUGGGACUAAGUAAUUUGCCGAAACUGUGCGAUAUAUGACUAAUCUCAAUUUGAGAUUCAAAAAAUAAAUAUAUCGGUAGGGGAGCGUUCUGUUGUAGGUCGAAGUAUUAGCGUAAGCGGAUAUGGACGAAGCAGAAGUGAGAAUGUCGGCUUGAGUAACGAAAAUAUAGGUGAGAAUCCUAUACCCCGAAAACCCAAGGUUUCCUCCGGAAGGCUCGUCCGCGGAGGGUAAGUCAGGACCUAAGGCGAGGCUGAAAAGCGUAGUCGAUGGAUAACGGGUUAAUAUUCCCGUACCAUUUAUUGUUGAUAUCGAGGGACGGAGAAGGCUAAGCUGGCCGGAUAUUGGUUUUACCGGUUUAAACGUUCGAGAUGAUGAGAAACGGAGAAAACGUUUUGAGUUGAGGCGUGAAUACGAGAUGCUACGGCAUUGAAGCAGUCUAUGUCAUACUUCCAAGAAAAGCUCGCAAUGUCGUCAAAAAUAAUAAAUGCCUGUACCAUAACCGACACAGGUGGGUAGGUAGAGUAUACUAAGGGGCGCGAGAUAACUCUCUCUAAGGAACUCGGCAAAAUGACUCCGUAACUUCGGGAGAAGGAGUGCCUUAUUUAUAAGGUUGCAAUAACAAGAUCCAAGCAACUGUUUACCAAAAACACAGGUCUCCGCUAAGUCGUAAGACGAUGUAUGGGGGCUGACGCCUGCCCAGUGCCAGAAGGUUAAAGAAGUUGGUUAGUUUCGACGAAGCUGAUGACUGAAGCCCUGGUGAACGGCGGCCGUAACUAUAACGGUCCUAAGGUAGCGAAAUUCCUUGUCGGGUAAGUUCCGACCCGCACGAAAGGCGUAAUGAUUUGGAUACUGUCUCGGAGAGGGGCUCGGUGAAAUAGACUUGUCUGUGAAGAUGCGGACUACCUGCACCUGGACAGAAAGACCCUAUGAAGCUUUACUGUAACUUGAGAUUGAAAUUGGACUUUAUUUGCGCAGCAUAGGUGGGAGACGUUGAGAAUAUUCUUGCGGGAAUAUUGGAGUCAUCAGUGAGAUACCACUCUUGUAAUGUUAGAUUUCUAACUUUGUAUCAUUAUCUGGUCAAAGGACAGUUUCAGGCGGGCAGUUUGACUGGGGCGGUCGCCUCCCAAAGGGUAACGGAGGCGCACAAAGGUUUCCUCUGAACGUGUAGAAAUCGUAUCUAGAGUGUAAAGGCAUAAGGAAGCUUGACUGUGAGACCUACAAGUCGAGCAGGGACGAAAGUCGGUCUUAGUGAUCUGACGGUGCUGAGUGGAAAGGCCGUCACUCAACGGAUAAAAGUUACUCUAGGGAUAACAGGCUGAUCUCCCCCAAGAGUUCACAUCGACGGGGAGGUUUGGCACCUCGAUGUCGGCUCAUCGCAUCCUGGGGCGGUAGUACGUCCCAAGGGUUGGGCUGUUCGCCCAUGAAAGCGGUACGCGAGCUGGGUUCAGAACGUCGUGAGACAGUUCGGUCCAUAUCCGGUGUAGGCGUUAGAAUAUUGAGAGGAGCCUUCUUUAGUACGAGAGGACCGAGAAGGACAUACCUCUGGUGUACCAGUUAUCGUGCCAACGGUAAACGCUGGGUAGCUAUGUAUGGAGUGGAUAACCGCUGAAAGCAUCUAAGUGGGAAGCCCACCUCAAGAUAAGUAUUCUCAUCACGUAAGUGAGUAAGGUCACGGUAAGACUAACCGUUUGAUAGGCAUUAAGUGUAAAUAUAGUAAUGUAUGAGCUGAGAUGUCCUAACAGACCGAGGACUUG
rnacentral:rRNA from 1 species